AUUAAUAAGCGGAGGAAAAGAAACUAACAAGGAUUCCCUUAGUAACGGCGAGUGAAGCGGGAAGAGCCCAGCACCGAAUCCUCCGUCACCUAGGCGCAGGAACUGUGGUGUUCGGGACAGCCCAUGCGGAUCGGUUGGCCGUCCGAGUCCUCCUGAUCGGGGCUUCACCCAGAGCGGGUGUCAGGCCUCUACGGCAGCCGACCGGUUCUCUAGGGUCGUCCUAGGAGUCGGGUUGUUUGAGAUUGCAGCCCUAAGCGGGUCGUAAACUCGACCUAAGGCUAAAUACAGACACGAGUCCGAUAGCGCACAAGUACCGUGAGGGAAAGUU
rnacentral:rRNA from 1 species